UAUCAAAAUUUACAUUUUAUUUAUAAUAUAAGAUAUUAAAAAAUAACAAUAGCACUUUUAAAUUUUAAAUAAUUAGAGUAUAUAUAUAUAUAUAUAUAUAUAUAUGAACUUUAUUAUAUAAAUACAGUGUUUAUUAAAACCAUUAUCGUGAAGGUUACGUGUUGUGUCAUUUAUUCAAAUUUUGUAAAAAUGUGGUUUUAUUUUUUAUUUGCUAUUCUUACAACAUUUGAUUUUGCGAUGGCUUCAUCGGGUUUUGAUUUUGGAGAUACUGUAGCAUUGAUUCUUGGAUUAAUUAUUGGAAUCAUUGGAUUUUUUGCCUGUAUGGGUACUUAUGCACGUCAUCGAAGUCGUAUGGAAACAAUGACAUAAAAAUAAGUACGCUAAAAUUCAAAAAAUAGCUAUUCAAUGUUUAUAAAAUUAAAUAAUAAACAAUAAUAAAAGUAAAUAAUAAACAAAUCCUUUUUGACAAUAAAAGUAACUUUGAAUUACAUUUAUGAUGUAUAAUAAAUUAUUUUUAUGUAUUAUAAUAUUAUUGUAAUAUAAUUAUUAAAUAAAUUUUUAUAAAAAUAA